rnacentral:tRNA from 1 species
AGGGCAGUGGCUCAAUUGGUAGAGCAUCGGUCUCCAAAACCGGCGGUUGGGGGUUCGAGUCCCUCCUGCCCUG